GACGAACGCUGGCGGCGUGCUUAACACAUGCAAGUCGAACGGAAAGGCCCUGCUUUUGUGGGGUGCUCUAGUGGCGAACGGGUGAGUAACACGUGAGUAACCUGCCCUUGACUUUGGGAUAACUUCAGGAAACUGGGGCUAAUACCGGAUAGGAGCUCCUGCUGCAUGGUGGGGGUUGGAAAGUUUCGGCGGUUGGGGAUGGACUCGCGGCUUAUCAGCUUGUUGGUUGGGUAGUGGCUUACCAAGGCUUUGACGGGUAGCCGGCCUGAGAGGGUGACCGGCCACAUUGGGACUGAGAUACGGCCCAGACUACUACGGGAGGCAGCAGAGGGGAAUAUUGCACAAUGGGCGGAAGGCUGAUGCAGCAACGCAGCGUGCGGGAUGACGGCCUUCGGGUUGUAAACCGCUUUCGCCUGUGACGAAGCGUGAGUGACGGUAAUGGGUAAAGAAGCACCGGCUAACUACGUG
rnacentral:rRNA from 1 species